UGUUUGGAACACCCUGGCGUUGCCACAGUGAAAAUGGACCAGGAGUUUGAAGACAUAGAUUCAGAGGGCCGGUGGCAAAAACUAUACUUAGAAAUCAGGAAUCAGUCCCAGGAUUGCUCCUACAGGGUGGCAAAGUAUCCAGAGAAUCGUAACCGAAACAGAUACAGAGAUGUCAAUCCAUUUGAUCACAGCCGGGUGAAGCUGGAGAACACAGAAAAUGACUAUAUCAACGCAAGUCUGGUAGUGAUGGAGGAAGCUGAGAGAAGCUACAUUUUGGCUCAGGGCCCCCUCAGAAACACCUGUGGGCACUUUUGGCUCAUGAUCUGGGAGCAGAAGACCAAGGCGGUCAUCAUGCUGAACAGGGUCAUAGAGAAAGGCUCAGAAAAGUGUGCCCAGUACUGGCCAACAUCUGAGGAGAGGGAGAUGACCUUCAAAGACACACGUUUCUUGGUCACACUGUUGUCAGAAGACACCAAGUCUUACUACAUCACCAGAGUGUUGGAGCUGAAGAACAUUAAUACAGGGGAGAAGAGAGAGAUAUACCACUUUCAUUACACCACCUGGCCUGAUUUUGGUGUCCCAGAAUCCCCGGCGUCCUUCUUAAACUUUCUUUUCAAGGUGCGGGAGUCGAGAGCGUUGGGUGCCGACCACGGGCCAGCUGUGGUGCACUGCAGUGCUGGAAUCGGACGCUCGGGGACAUUUUCAUUAGUGGACACAUGUCUGGUCCUGAUGGAGAAGAGGAGAGACCCAUUAUCAGUGGACAUAAAAAGCAUCCUGUUGGACAUGAGGAAGUACCGCAUGGGCCUGAUCCAGACCCCUGACCAGCUACGCUUCUCCUACAUGGCUGUCCGCGAAGGAGCCAAAUACAUUAUGGGAGACUCCUCUGUACAGAACCGGUGGCGGGAGUUGUCCAGGGAAAAUAGGGAGCCGACAUCAGAGUCUUGCCCCUCGACUCAGCCUCAGGCCAGGUUUCCGACAGAGCGAUACAACGGCAGCCAACGGGGUGGUCAGCCAGAGGAAGGAGGAGACUACAGGCAGGACGGCAAAGUAUCCGCACAGUCUCCCUGCAAGGAACAGGAGCUGGACGGCAACACAACACACAAACGACGCAGAGAAGACAGUAUUUCCAAAUCAGGCACAGCCAAGACACCCCAAAGCAAGCCCAGGACAAAUGACUCAGAGAAAAAGAGAAAAAGUUUGGGCUGCAUUUGCUGCACAUGACAAGAGCUGGCCUGUCCAGUGGGGGGCAGUGUAUCUUUACCCCCUCCUGAGACAGCAACAACAACCGUGAAGAGCACAUUUAGAGGAGGAAGUUUGCCCACAGCAUUUAGAGAGAACACCCACUCUUGGUGAAAACCAGUGACUGCUAACCACCUCCACCGGUGGCCACAUGACUACAGCUCCGGCAGCAAAGGCAACAUCGGCAGGGAAACUCCAACUCUUGUCUGAGGGAGCUCUGUCCUCCUCUUCCUCUACUCCAAACCACUCUUCCUCUCCUCCACUUCUACAGCCAGCUCUUCUUUUUUCAUCGCUUUUUUUUUUGUGUGUGUGUGUGUGUGUGUCCCAACCCUACAGCAUUAUCCAGCCACCGCACCCCUUUCUUUUUAACUGUGUUAGCAACAUAUCACUCCCACAUUCUCCUCAGUCUCCCCGUAUCUCCUCUUCCUCUCUAAACUGUUUACAGCAGACACUUUGACAUUCUUUGAAGAGCGCACAUUUAAUAAGACAAACACACCAGCGCUUUACCUCCCCUGCCCCACCCACUCCCCCACCACCUGCGCUGCUCCUGGAGUCAUAAAAUCAGUUUUUUGCUUUAAUAUUAUUAUUUACUGCUUUGUCUUUCUAUUAUGCUUCUUUGCAUUUAUGAAAUUGAGACAGAAAAUAGAGGCUAUGCAUUGCCAAUUUGUAAUGGUGUUCAUAUGUGUAUUUUUAGAGAACCUUUUUUCAGAGACAGAAAUGAAAAUGUUCUAUUUUUUAUAAGAGAUUACUUGAAGUUUUUCACAGAGAUGGGGGGUUGGAUAAAUGAAAAGCUCUGCCUCCUCCCACAUGAGGAAUUCAGUGGCAUGAAAUGUUUUCAUGAUGUAAAUAGUGUUCUUUUUAAGAGAUGUGUGUAAAAAGACAUAUUUUUUUGCUUGUUUAAAAAAACAAACAAAAACAAAAGACAAUGUUACAGAUUUGAAUAGUAGAAAGCUGAUUUGAUGGCUGCAGACGAUUUGUUCUCCUUUUGAAAUGAAUUUGUCUUAAGUUUUUCUCUUUCUUAGAGUGUAACCUACAAAUAAACCUGGUAUCGUCUAGUUUACAUAACAACCUGUGUUUGUCCCAUCCUGGUUUAAUUUACCACAAAUCUGUAUCUUGAAUCGUCAUAAGCAUCAGCUCAGGAUUUUAUCACAAAUACACGAUUUAACUUAAAGCAAUACUUUGAGAUUUGGGGAAAUAUGCCUAGAGCUGGAUGGAACACUGAUAAACGUGUGCUUUAAAUGAACAGAAUAAAACAAAUAAGGCCAUAGUCAGCUUUCAGAAUGUAUUAAUGGCUUAAUUAAUUAAUUAAUUAGUUGUAUUAGUAAUAUUUUUAGGGCUGGUAGUUUUUUCAAAUGAUAGAUUUCUCCUUUUCAGAGCCAGACUUUCAUU